rfam:Coprobacillus sp. 29_1 genomic scaffold supercont1.1, whole genome shotgun sequence.
AUAAUGAUACUUCUGUCAAUUCUUAGUCCGAGCGUGAUAAUAACCGUCGCAGACAUUAAUGACAGUUGCAUGAGUUCCAUGCAAAGGUGAAAUCCCUAUGU